rnacentral:rRNA from 1 species
AGAGUUUGAUCCUGGCUCAGGAUGAACGCUGGCGGCGUGCCUAAUACAUGCAAGUCGAACGGGAGGCUUGGAGGAAUUCAAGCUGAGAGUGGCGCACGGGUGAGGAACACAUGGCUGACCUGCCCUUCAGGGGGGGAUAACGGCUGGAAACGGCUGCUAAUACCCCAUACGCUCUUCGGGGUUAGAGGCUCGGAGAGGAAAGGCCGGAGACGGUUACUGAAGGAGGGGGCUGUGGCCCAUCAGCUAGUUGGUGAGGUAAGGGCUCACCAAGGCGACGACGGGUAGGGGGCCUGAGAGGGUGACCCCCCACACUGGGACUGAGACACGGCCCAGACUCCUACGGGAGGCAGCAGUAAGGGAUCUUGCGACAAUGGGCGAAAGCCUGACGCAGCAACGCCGCGUGCGGGAUGACGGCCUUCGGGUUGUAAACCGCUUUUCGGGGGGAAGAGGAAGGACGGUACCCCCGGAAGAAGUCUCGGCUAACUACGUGCCAGCAGCCGCGGUAAAACGUAGGAGGCGAGCGUUAUCCGGAUUUACUGGGUGUAAAGCGCGUGUAGGCGGUCGUGCAAGUGGCGCGUGAAAGCGCCCGGCUCAACCGGGCGAGGACGUGGGCGAACUGCGCGACUAGAGGCAGGUAGAGGCGUGUGGAAUUCCGGGUGUAGUGGUGAAAUGCGUAGAGAUCCGGAGGAACACCAGUGGCGAAGGCGACACGCUGGGCCUGGCCUGACGCUGAGAGGCGAAAGCAUGGGGAGCGAACGGGAUUAGAAACCCCGGUAGUCCAUGCCGUAAACGAUGCUGACUAGGUGUGGCGGGUCUGAACUCCCGCCGUGCCGGAGCCAACGUGGUAAGUCAGCCACCUGGGGACUACGGCCGCAAGGUUAAAACUCAAAUGAAUUGACGG